CUCGGAAGGACUGGUGAAGAGCUCACAUUUCAUCAAAGAGCAUGUGCUGUCUCUACAGGUACUGUCUCUUCUAUCUGAUCUGGACUGGGCCCAAACUCCUCUGAAGCCCAGACCCAGCAGCCUCCCGUGGGGACACCCAACUCCCCACCCGUCCUCAGCAAACAGGAAAUUAUCUGUCUUCAGCACAGCCAACAGUUGAUGGAGGUAAGAGCAUUAAAAAGGCCUAAAAUGUAAACCCGAAGACAUACAUUUUUCCUGCACAGUGGAAUUAUUCCCCGUCCAUUAUCUCCAUCCUGCGCUUCUA
rnacentral:lncRNA from 1 species